UACGAAGGGGGCUAGCGUUGUUCGGAAUUACUGGGCGUAAAGCGCGCGUAGGCGGUGAUCCAUGUCAGAGGUGAAAGCCCGGGGCUCAACUCCGGAAUUGCCUUUGAAACGGGAUCGCUAGAGUCCGAGGAGAGGAUGCGGAAUUCCUAGUGUAGAGGUGAAAUUCGUAGAUAUUAGGAAGAACACCGGUGGCGAAGGCGGCCAUCUGGCUCGGUACUGACGCUCGGCGCGAAAGCGUGGGGAGCAAACAGG
rnacentral:rRNA from 1 species